UACGUGGGAUGCAAGCGUUAUCCGGAUUUAUUGGGCGUAAAGAGUUCGUAGGCGUGUUGACGCAUUUCGCUUCAAAGUCCGAGGCUUAACCUCGGGAAGGGGCGAAAUAUGGUCAGCAUCGAGUUGGUUAGGGGGUACUGGAACUGUUGGUGUAGCAGUGAAAUGCGUUGAUAUCAACAGGAACACCAAGGGCGAAGGCAGGUACCUGGGACCACACUGACGCUGAGGAACGAAAGCUAGGGGAG
rnacentral:rRNA from 1 species